rnacentral:rRNA from 1 species
UACGUAGGGUGCGAGCGUUGUCCGGAAUUAUUGGGCGUAAAGAGCUCGUAGGCGGUUUGUCACGUCUGCUGUGAAAUCCCGAGGCUCAACCUCGGGCCUGCAGUGGGUACGGGCAGACUGGAGUGCGGUAGGGGAGAAUGGAAUUCCUGGUGUAGCGGUGGAAUGCGCAGAUAUCAGGAGGAACACCGAUGGCGAAGGCAGUUCUCUGGGCCGUAACUGACGCUGAGGCGCGAGAGCGUGGGGAGCAAACAGG